rnacentral:misc_RNA from 1 species
GCAUUUCUUUCUCCACCGACUCAUCUAGUUCAAUCAACAACCGAUUCACACCAAAAUCACAGCAUGUUCAGCAUUGGAUGCCCAAAAGCUCCGAUUUUGCCUGCACAAUUCUAGUGCACGUUGCCACUUUGUUUCCUUCUCCCAUUUGGAGAACUGGCUGAAGUACAAAACACCAAAAACUAAAGCCUCUUACCAACUACAGAACUAAAAACUCUCUCUGUCUCUCUCCCUCUCGCACACACUGUCUCUCUCCCUCUUUCUAAAAUUCUCUUUCUUUCGAGAAACGCACGCAAAAUAUUUAUAUUAUAGUCUUUUGGGUUCUUUGAUUCCAAGUUCGAAUACCCAUCAUUUUAUAUGCUUUGCCUUUUUAGUGUUUCGUGUUUGUUCUUCUUCUGUCUGCAUUCGUGGUCGUUCAACUGCUGUGUGAAUAAGAAAAAAGAGAAGGAACAAUCUUUAUCUCUAUCUUUAUCCUUCACUAUUAUAUAAAAAUUCAUUUUCUUUUUUCUUUCUGGUGUACUGUUUAUCUUUGUGUGAUAUUUAAACAAGUAUUUACUGGUGAGGGCGGUAUUUUGGCAAAUG